GAUGAAGAACGUAGCGAAAUGCGAUAUGUAAUGUGAAUUGCAGAAUUCAGUGAAUCAUCGAAUCUUUGAACGCACAUUGCGCCCCUUGGUAUUCCGAGGGGCAUGCCUGUUCGAGCGUCAUUAUAACCCCUCAAGCUCAGCUUGGUGUUGGGGCCUGCUGCACUGGCAGCCCUUAAAAUCAGUGGCGGCGCCAUCUGGCUCUAAGCGUAGUAAUUCUUCUCGCUAUGGAGUCCUGGUGGAUGCUUGCCAUCAACCCCCAAUUUUUCUAUGGUUGACCUCGGAUCAGGUAGGGAUACCCGCUGAACUUAAGCAUAUCAAUAAGCGGAGGA
rnacentral:misc_RNA from 1 species